GUCCCUGUAGUUAAAUGGAUAUAAUGGCCCCCUCCUAAGGGGCAGUUGUGGGUUCGAUUCCCGCCGGGGGCACCA
rnacentral:tRNA from 1 species